rnacentral:rRNA from 1 species
AGUGAACGCUGGCGGUAGGCCUAACACAUGCAAGUCGAACGGCAGCACAGUAAGAGCUUGCUCUUACGGGUGGCGAGUGGCGGACGGGUGAGGAAUACAUCGUAAUCUACUUUUUCGUGGGGGAUAACGUAGGGAAACUUACGCUAAUACCGCAUACGACCUACGGUUGAAAGCAGGGGAUCUUCUGACCUUGCGCGAUUGAAUGAGCCGAUGUCGGAGUAGCUAGUUGGCGGGGUAAAGGCCCACCAAGGCGACGAUCCGUAGCUGGUCUGAGAGGAUGAUAAGCCACACUGGAGCUGAGACACGGUCCAGACUACUACGGGAGGCAGCAGUGGGGAAUAUUGGACAAUGGGCGCAAGCCUGAUCCAGCCAUACCGCGUGGGUGAAGAAGGCCUUCGGGUUGUAAAGCCCUUUUGUUGGGAAAGAAAAGCAGCAGGUUAAUACCCAGCUGUUCUGACGGUACCCAAAGAAUAAGCACCGGCUAACUUCGUG